rnacentral:rRNA from 1 species
AUACGUAGGUGACAAGCGUUAUCCGGAUUUACUGGGUGUAAAGGGCGUGUAGGCGGUUUAGCAAGUCAGAAGUGAAAUUCCCGGGCUUAACUUGGGCGCUGCUUCUGAAACUGCUUUACUUGAGUGCUGGAGAGGAUAGUGGAAUUCCUAGUGUAGCGGUAAAAUGCGCAGAUAUUAGGAGGAACACCGGUGGCGAAGGCGGCUAUCUGGACAGUAACUGACGCUGAGGCGCGAAAGCACGGGGAGCAAACAGGAUUAGAUACCCUGGUAGUCCGUGCCGUAAACGAUGAAUACUAGGUGCAGGGGGUAUCGACUCCCUCUGUGCCGCAGUUAACACAUUAAGUAUUCCACCUGGGGAGUACGGCCGCAAGGUUGAAACUCAAAUGAAUUGACGGG